rnacentral:rRNA from 1 species
AACGAACGCUGGCGGCAUGCCUAACACAUGCAAGUCGAACGAGACCUUCGGGUCUAGUGGCGCACGGGUGCGUAACCCGAGGGAACCUGCCCUUAGGUUCGGAAUAACUCCCCGAAAGGGGUGCUAAUACCGGAUAAUGUCUUCGGACCAAAGAUUUAUCGCCUUUGGAUGGGCCCGCGUUGGAUUAGCUUGUUGGUAGGGGAAAAGCCUACCAAGGCGACGAUCCAUAGCUGGUCUGAGAGGAUGGUCAGCCACACUGGGACUGAGACACGGCCCAGACUCCUACGGGAGGCAGCAGUGGGGAAUAUUGGACAAUGGGCGAAAGGCUGAUCCAGCAAUGCCGCGUGAGUGAUGAAGGUCGUAGGGUUGUAAAGCUCUUGUACCCGGGAUGAUAAUGACAGUACCGGGAGAAUAAGCUACGGCUAACUCCGUG